AGAUGUAUCUUUGUGGGCUAUUUUCCCACGAAAAAGGGGUAUCGGUGUUGGUCUCCUGCUGAAAAGAAAUUCUUUGUCAAGAGGAGAUGGAAACACAUGAUGGAGAAAGUGUACCACAAGAAAUUAAUGAAGGAGCCAUUAACCAGCGAGAAGUACUAGAGGAGGCACCAACAAGUGAAGAAAUAUCCCAUGAUGAGGGCGAUACUGAAGGAGCUUUAUUGCAUCCUUAGAUUCUACAUCACUACCUAAAGAUUGGAAGGAUGCACUUAAUGAUCCUAAAUGGAAGGCAGCAAUGUUGGAGGAAAUGACUGCUCUAGAAAAGAAUAAUACGUGGCAAUUGGUAGAAUGGCCAAAGGGCAAGGAACCAGUCGGGUGCAAAUGGGUUUAUACUAUCAAGUAUAACCCUGAAGGUAAAAUAGAAAGGUAUAAAGCUCGGUUAGUGGCCAAAGGCUACACACAGACUUAUGGUGUUGAUUAUGAGGAAACAUUUGCUCCCGUAGCAAAAAUGAAUACAUUAAGAACUUUGAUAUCUUGUGCAGCUAAUCUUGGAUGGAAUUUAUUUCAGAUGGAUGUAAAAAAUGCAUUCUUGCAUGGAGACCUCCAGGAGGAAAUUUAUAUGCAUAUACCACCUGGUUUUAGCACAACACAAACUGAAGGAAAGGUGUUGAAACUCCGCCGUUCACUAUAUGGUCUAAAACAAUCGCCUCGUGCUUGGUUUGAUCGAUUUUGGAAAGCUGUGUUAAAAUUGGGUUUCAACCAGAGCAAUGCUGACCAUACUUUAUUUUAUAAAAGAUGUGCCGGAAAACUGACGAUAUUAAUUGUCUAUGUUGAUGAUAUUGUUAUUACAGGAGAUGAUGGUGAAGGUAUUAAAAAAGUGAAGCAACAUUUGAUGAACGAGUUUGAAGUCAAGGAUCUCGGACAAAUGAGGUAUUUUCUUGGAAUUGAAGUCUCGCGAAGCUCAAGAGGUAUCUAUUUAUCCCAAAGAAAAUAUGUGCUAGAUCUAUUGUCAGAAACUGGUAUGUCCGGGUGUCGUCCAGCAUUAACACCAAUUGAACAAAACCACAGAUUGACUAGUGAGCCAGGAGAACCUGUUG